CACGUAGGGGGCGAGCGUUGUCCGGAUUUAUUGGGCGUAAAGCGCACGUAGGCGGAUUUGUAAGUCAGGGGUGAAAUCCCGAGGCUCAACCUCGGAACUGCCUUUGAUACUGCAAAUCUCGAGUCCGGAAGAGGUGAGUGGAAUUCCUAGUGUAGAGGUGAAAUUCGUAGAUAUUAGGAAGAACACCAGUGGCGAAGGCGGCUCACUGGUCCGGUACUGACGCUGAGGUGCGAAAGCGUGGGGAGCAAACAGG
rnacentral:rRNA from 1 species